GGCUGAAACUACGCCUACAUGAAGCUGGAAUUGCUAGUAAUCACAGGUCAGCAUACUGUGGUGAAUACGUUCCCGGGCCUUGUACACACCGCCCGUCACACCAUGAGAGUUGAGAAUACCCGAAGCCCAUGUCAAAGUGGUCGAAGGUAGGCUUGAUGAUUGGGGUGAAGUCGUAACAAGGUACC
rnacentral:rRNA from 1 species